GACGAACGCUGGCGGCGUGCUUAACACAUGCAAGUCGAACGGUAAAGCCCUUCGGGGUACACGAGUGGCGAACGGGUGAGUAACACGUGGGUGAUCUGCCCUGCACCUCGGGAUAAGCCUGGGAACUCGGGUCUAAUACCGGAUAGGACCACUGCCUGCAUGGGUGGUGGUGGAAAGCCUUUGCGGUGUGGGAUGGGCCCGCGGCCUAUCAGCAUGUUGGUGGGGUGAUGGCCUACCAAGGCGACGACGGGUGGCCGGCCUGAGAGGGGGACCUGCGACACUGGGGCUGUGACACGGCCCAGACUCCUACGGGAGGCAGCAGUGGGGAAUAUUGAACAAGGAGCGCAAGCCUGAUGCAGCGACGCCGCGUGAGAGAUGACGGCCUUCGGGUUGUAAACCUCUUGCAGCACCGACGAAGCGCAAGUGACGGUAGAUGCAGAAAAAGGACCGGCCAACUACGUGCCAGCAGCCGCCGUAAAAC
rnacentral:rRNA from 1 species